rnacentral:rRNA from 1 species
AUGCAUUUUUAUAAUCAAUUUGUUUAUUAUUACCGUGCAGAGUUGACGAUGGUCAGUGGAACGAUGGUGGACAGGUGGUUGCGGUCGGCGGUGCAGGACAUGAAAGAAAAUAACCGGGCAGAGGUUUUAUGUCCGUGUCGAAAAUGCAAAGGAAUACUUUGGCUCGACCCCCAUGACGAUGGUCGUGUCGAAGCGCACCUGCUCAUGACUGGUUUCAUGGAUGGCUAUACUCGGUGGAUAAUUGAAGAUGAGGAUGACGAUGUUGAGGAUGCCGACGGGGCAGGCAAUGAUGACACGGGGCAAGACGAAGAGAUGAUCGAUAAUGGCGGCGGGGAAGAGGCCGGACAUGGCGGCGGAGAAGGGGCCGGACAUGGCGGUGGAGAGAACGACAUGGACUCCACGCAGCAGAGUUCGUCGGUACUAAGUUCAAUUGUGCGGGACCCUCAUGUUCAAGCAUUGCUUCGCAAGGAGACGAGUACUGAGAGAGCUGCUUCUAGAGAGGAGGCUAAGCUGGAGCAACUGGUGGUAGACUCGAACACUCCAUUGUAUGAUGGUUGCAAUCCUGAGGUGACCCACUUGAGUUUCACGCUCCAACUCCUGAAGACGAAGGCUAAAAACAAAUGGACCGACACUAGCCUCGAUGAGCAUCUCAAGUACCUAAAGGAUGUUCUUCCCGCGGGUAAUCUAUGUCCUACUAGUGUUGAUGAGGCCAAGAAGAUCGUGUGCCCUCUUGAUCUGCCACACGUUAGAUACCAUGCAUGCAUCAACGAUUGCAUAAUUUAUCGGAAGGAGCACGCGGAAAAAACAAGCUGUCCGGUGUGCAAUGCUUCUCGAUACAAGAAGGCCGGGAAGAAAUGUCCCCAGAAAGUUGUAUGGUACUUACCGAUCACUCCCCGUCUCCAGAGGUAUUUUAUAGAUCCCAAGGAAGCAAAGCUAAUGCGCUGGCACGCGGAGAGGAAGCCCGACGAUGGAGAUGAUCCGAAGCUGAGACACGUGUAG